CUCUGCGGCGGGCACAGCCCUUGGUCACCCUGUGCCGGCGUCCCCGAGGCGGGGGACGGCCGGCCGCGGGCCCGGCUGCCGCCGCGCGACUCCACCCGUGGUGGGGCGGGGGCGGCUGGCCGGCGGAGCCCCUCGCGCGGGGCCUGUCCAGCUCUCCUUCGGAGAUCUUGCAGGAGCUGGGCAAGGGGAGCACGCAUCCGCAGCCCGGGGUGUCGCCACCCGCUGCCCCGGCGGCGCCCGGCCCCAAGGACGGCCCCGGGGAGACGGACGCGUUUGGCAACAGCGAGGGCAAAGAGCUGGUGGCCUCAGGUGAAAAUAAAAUAAAACAGGGUCUGUUACCUAGCUUGGAAGAUUUGCUGUUCUAUACAAUUGCUGAAGGACAAGAGAAAAUACCUGUUCAUAAAUUUAUUACAGCACUCAAAUCUACAGGAUUGCGAACGUCUGAUCCCAGGUUGAAAGAGUGUAUGGAUAUGUUAAGAUUAACUCUUCAAACAACAUCAGAUGGUGUCAUGCUAGACAAAGAUCUUUUUAAAAAGUAAAAGUUUCUGCCAAACCUUUAAUGGUGAUUUGCUAUGCUAUACGGUGAUUCUGCUUUUAAAACAAAAUUGCAUCUUUGAAGGCCACUGCUUCCUGUGUAAUGGAAAAAGGGGAUUUAUAAACAUCAUUUGUUUGA
rnacentral:lncRNA from 1 species